rnacentral:rRNA from 1 species
UACGAAGGGUGCAAGCGUUGUUCGGAAUUACUGGGCGUAAAGCGCGCGUAGGCGGUUUGAUAAGUUGGAAGUGAAAUCCCAGGGCUUAACUCUGGAAUUGCUUUCAAAACUGUCAGACUAGAGUAUGGCAGGGGACAGUGGAAUUCCUAGUGUAGAGGUGAAAUUCGUAGAUAUGAGGAGGAACACCAGUGGCGAAAGCGACUGUCUGGACCAUUACUGACGCUGAGGCGCGAAAGCGUGGGGAGCAAACAGG